rnacentral:rRNA from 1 species
UACGAAGGUGGCGAGCGUUGUUCGGAAUCACUGGGCUUAAAGCGUGUGUAGGCGGAUUUGUAAGUACCUUGUGAAAUCCCAUGGCUCAACCAUGGAACUGCUCGGUAUACUGCGAAUCUUGAGCCACUUAGGGGCUACCGGAACAAAUGGUGGAGCGGUGAAAUGCGUAGAUAUCAUUUGGAACGCCAAUGGUGAAAACAGGUAGCUGGGAGUGUGCUGACGCUGAGACACGAAAGCCAGGGGAGCGAACGGG